rnacentral:lncRNA from 1 species
CACACACACACACACACACAAAUCGAGUAGGGCACAGUGCCAAUGGUAUAUGUUUCAGUAUCCCAUGAGUAUCUACUGUAUGUGUAGAAAAGGCUGUCCUGCUCCCCUCCUCUCUACCUAACUUUCCCUCACAGUCCCUUUAGUGCCCCCACAGUACCGUUAGGGCGAUAUCUCACAAUCUCAGCUGUCCAUCAAAACCCUUUGGCUUCAGCGUGCCUAAAUGCUCAUCUGGACUCUAACCCCUCCAACCCCAGGUCAGAGUGUUUUUAGUUGUCGAGUGAACAAGACGCAAGUUUGGGCUGGCGAUUAAAGGCACCCGCAAACUAUGUUCGAUUUGCUACUAGCAGAUCUCAGCUAGGCGCAGCGACCGUCUGUUCUCUCAUACUCCCUAAAGACCUUUGCUUGAAAAAACUAUAUUACUAAAUCAAGUUCUUGCUGAGGAGAUUUUAGUUGCACAAUUUUGCAGUAUUUCUCAAGUAAAAAAAUGUGCGUGAAAACACUCCCAAGACAUUUCCACUUCACAAUAACAGCACUUACAGUUGACCAGGGCAGCUCUAGCAGGGCAGACAUUUUACGAACUGACUUGUUGGAAAGGUGGCAUCCAAUGACAGUGCCACGAUGAAAGUCACUGAGCUCUUCAGUAAGGCCAUUCUACUGCCAAUGUUUGUCUAUGGAGAUUGAAUGGCUGUGUGUUCGAAUGGGGUGAAAUAGCCAAAUCCACUAUUUGAAAUGGUGUCCCACAUACUUUUGUAUAUAUAGUGUAUGCGCAAACUUUAUCAACUGGGAAGCAUACGGAAAGCUAAAGCUUAAAUUGACUGUGUUUACUCUGAAGAUUCUGCAUGCAUCUAAGAAAGUGAGUUGUGGGGCCUACUGUUGUGGGUUUUAUGCUGCUAAAUGGUGCUUAGUUACUAAUAGCAGGCCUACUUAUAGCUAAUUUUCUACACGUGUAACUGUAUUGUAAUAGUAUUAUGUCAUCUUGCAGCUAAGGUCUGUGUAUAUUUUAGAUUGUGCAUAUUGUUUAUAUUGCCUUAGUGCCGGUAUCACCUUGAUUGCACGAGUGUUUAUGCAGGAAAUGCUAUUGAUAGAGAGGGCAUAGUCUGUAUGCACACGCUACCGCUGCAUUUUCAUGGUUCAUGCUACCUACAGCAAUGCCGAGUUUCUAGAACCUUCUACAAGUUUCAGAGAUGGUCCUCAAAGCUUGCAUGCAGAGUCUACGACUCUGUGGCACCAGACACAGAUCCGAAAAGAUCUCCACCAAUAGCCAAGUGUGAUUGUGGGGCAUUUUUGCAUGUGGGCAUUCCUGCAUUUACAUUGUGGGUCAAAAGGGAAAUAAAAGUAUUAUCUGAGUAUUAUCUGAGCUAGCUACUGGUGUCGUCCUCGCCUCCCACUUGCUGUGUACCGGUGUCCUAACUAGCUGAAUGAUACAGGAGAGGGAGGGAUGCUAGCUAGCCCACAGUGUCCUUCGCUAACGCCUGCCAAACACCUGUCCUUGCCAUCAUUAACAGAACUGUGGAAAAGCAGUACCCGACAGGCGGGGGAAAAGGACACUGAAAUAUAAUGACAUUUCAAAAGGAGGGUCGACUUUGACCCAAGAGAACAAUCCAGACUAAGAAUUUGCAAAAGAUUGAACCCCUGGUCUAUGAUUAGUAGAUGUGGGAGAGGUGAGCGUGUAUCAGAUCCCCCUGCUGUUCUUCACCCCAUGGUGCAGUCUGCUGACCAUCGCUGAGGCCAGGAAGAAGUCCGCCAGCCGAAGUAAAAGUCAAGUUCAUCACCAUGCAAUGCUCUAUUGACCGAGGUGCCAUGUCGUCUCCCAUCUACUUCAUAGUGGCCUCAGCUGGACUCCACCGCAUAACCUCUUGGUCUAGCCAGAUUAAUCAAGAGCUUCAAUCCGGGCCGGCUUUGGUUUCCAGAGACUAUGAGAAGGGAGUGGUGGGCCAACUGACCAACGCCAUUGCUGUGUGUGGUUAACUCCAGCAGCUCCUCUAGGUGCUCCAGCAAACCUCCUGUCUUUUAGAUCCUGCUGAAAUGGUCCACUAUCAGCCAGGCUCUCCAUGGAAAAGAAGGGCUGUUGUGGCACCAAAAUAGAUGAGUUGCCUGGGUAGCGCCUCCUUUGUCCAAAAAGUUUCAUUUAACUCUGAAAAUCUUAGUGCAUUCAACUGACAACUAUGUACAAGAUCAACGUAGUACUAAAAAUAACAUAAGAUAGAACAAAAACACAAGAAAUAUAAAUAAACAAUAAGAACACAAGAAGCUAAGUAAGCUACAUACAUGGUCAGUUCCAAUGUCCAGGGAUAUUGGAGUGAUAGUUAGAUACUGUAUGUAUGGCAGUAAGGUGACUAGGCAUCAGGAUAAAGGAUAAACAAAGUAUCAGCAUCAUAUAUGAUGAAUGUAUGUGAGUGUGCGUAAGUGUGUUUAGAGUCAGUAUAAAUGUGUGUGUAUGAUAUGUGUCUGUGAGCAAAUUAAGUGUGUGUGUGUGUGCGCAUACGUGCGUUGGAAUGUCACCAUGCGUGAACGUGUAGAGUCCUGUGAGUGUACAUAGAGACAGUAUAAAAAUAAAAUACAAGGGUCAACUCAGAUAGUCCGUGUAGCCAUUCUGUUAGCUAUUAGGCAGUCUUAUGGCUUGGAGAACGUUCAGGAGCCCGUUGGUGUCAGACUUGAUGUACCGGUACCGCUGGGCGUGCAGAAACGGAGAGAACAGUCUAUGGCUUGGGAGGCUGGAGCUUUCGUGGCCUUCCUUUCACACCACCUAAUAUAGAGGUCCUGGAUGGCAAGGACCUCUAUAUUUGAGGAUUUGAGUGCCCAUGCCAAACCUUUUCAACCUCCUGAGGGGGAAGAGGCGCUGUCAAGUUCUCUUCAUAACUGUGCGCAUGUGUGUAGACCAUUUUAAGUCCGUAGUGAUUUGGACACGAGGAACUUCAAGCUCUUGACCCACUUCACUGCAGCCCCGUAGAUGUACAUUUUUCAUUUUAUAUUUUAUUAGGAUUUCCAUUAGCCAACGCAAAUGGCGACAGCUAGCUGUACUGGAGUAGUCAAUGACCAGGUUGUUGUCCCGGGACCACACUACCAGGUCACUGACCUCCUCCCUGUACUCUGUCUCAUCGUCGGCAGUGAUCAGGCCUACCACCGUCGUUUUGUCAGCAAACUUGAUGAUGUUGUUGGGGUCGUGCGUAGACAGGCAGUUUUGGGUGAACAGGCAGUACAAGAUGGGACAAAGCACACACCCCUGUGUGUCCCCGUGUUGAGGGUCAGCGUGGUGGAGGUGAUAUUGCCCACCAGGAAGUCCAAGAUCCAGUUGCCGAGGGAGGUGUUCAGUCCAAGGGUCCUAAGCUUGGUGACGAGCUUGGAGGAGACAAUGUUGUUGAACGCUGAGCUGUAGUCAAUGAACAGCAUUCUUACAUAGGUAUUCCUCUUAUCUAGGUGGGUAAGGGCAGUGUUGAGUGCAAUUGAGAUUGUGUCAUCUAUGGAUCUGUUUGGUGGUAUGCAAAUUGGAGUGGGUCUAGGGUGUCUGGGAUGAUGGAGUUGAUGUGUGCCAUAACCAGUCUUUCAAAGCACUUCAUGGUUACAGAUGUGAGUGCUACAGGGUGGUAGUUAUUGUGGCAUGAAGCCUUAGAGUUUUUGGGAACAGGAAUGAUGGUGGCCAGCUUAAGACGUGGGGAUUACAGCCUGGGACAAGGAGAGGUUGAAAAUGACCGUGAAUAUGCCUGCCAGCUGUUCUGCGCAUGCUCUGAGAACACACCCUGAAACACCGUCCGGCCUUGCGAGUGUUUACCUGAUUAAAGACUUUUCUCACUUUGGCCUCAGAGAGCGAGAUGGCCCAGUCCUGUGGGUCAGUGGGGGCCCAGAAUGCCAAGAAUGUGCUAAACUGUCAUCAAGGCAAAGGUGGCUAUUUGAAGAAUCUCAAAUAUAAAAUAUAUUUUGAUUUGUUUAACAAUGGGUCGAACCUACCACUGCGCUCGAGUGAGCACACCAUUUGUGGGCAAACCCCUUCCCGCUCUCUAUUUCCCUGACUCCACUGUCCUGUCCGCUCAGUGAAUGGAGAAUCCAUGUAGUUGGAUAGCCAUGUUUCAGAAAAACAGGGAAUAUUGCAGUUACGAGAGUCUCGUUGGUAGCAGAUCCGCCAUCGGAGGUCAUCCAUCUUAUUUUCUAUUGGCCAAUAGAAUGAGGUGGCCAGUUUUCCCUUCGCCUUAAUCUCUUGACUCGGCAACGCCGGCGUUUCCUCUUGGAUACACCGAAAAUUGGGUUGGAAUUACAUAAAAAGCCCAGGGCAGGUGAGUCGAAGCUGAAGCCAGAAUUGAGGUAAGUAACAGCUGAUCUGAUGUUCAAAAGUUCUUGUCAGUUAUAAGAAAUGAUAGUGGAUACAUUUUGUGAAAAUUAAGUAAAAAUAAAUGACCAAAAAAAUCACAAAAUAGCUAAGUUGGGUCAGAGCUAUCAAAGCAGCGGCCAUACAGUCCUGUGUCAUCUUUUCGCUUUCAUUCAGAAUCUGCAAUAUAUUAAAGUACUAAAUCACAUCCUCCUCGUCCCCACUUUAGGUACGCUGUUAUACAGUUUUGCUCAGUUCUGGCAUUCUCCGUACAUGUCAUCUGCCACUACUUAAUCAUGCACUUUUUAUAUUAU